rnacentral:rRNA from 1 species
UACGUAGGGCGCAAGCGUUGUCCGGAAUUAUUGGGCGUAAAGAGCUCGUAGGCGGUCUGUUACGUCCGCUGUGAAAACCCAGGGCUUAACCCUGGGCUUGCAGUGGAUACGGGCAGACUAGAGGCAGGUAGGGGAGAAUGGAAUUCCCGGUGUAGCGGUGAAAUGCGCAGAUAUCAGGAAGAACACCCGUGGCGAAGGCGGAUCUCUGGGCCGAUACUGACGCUGAGGAGCGAAAGCGUGGGGAGCGAACAGG